GCCAUUUCCUCAGGGUCAAAACACUACAAUUCUUGGGGAGGUCUCUUCCUUUUAGGUAUUUAUGACGUUCAGUCUCCAGCCACUUAGCUGUCAGGUAUUUCACACAGCUCUUUGGGAUGUUUGUAACAAACACGAUGUCUCCUUCAUACACCUGAAGGAAAGCUGUUCUUGUUCAACUUCAAUUUUUUCUGGAUGCAGCCAGACACUGGGAAAAUCUGCUCUUUAAAAGGUGAAUGUUUUUAUGAAAUUGAGUCUUCAAAUAAUGCUUUAUAACAGAAAUUAAUUCGAGAUUUAAGAUUGCUGCUGCCAGUCCCAUUACUAGGAGCCCUAAUAUUGUAUCCACUGGUAUUUGUUACCGAACUUUCAGUGGUUGCACUGUUGAAAAUUUAACUAUGCUAUUAACUAUAUUGUCACAUAACGCUUAUUACUACUGCAUCAUAUUCUUUUCAAGACUUGGCAAAAUUUUGUCAAAAGGUUAGGCCGCAUCCAGAACACUUAAUACAUUGUUUGUGAGUUCUGAUAUCCAAAAGACAGUAUCUGUUCUCUGUGCACAUAUGCAUUUAGUUUCCUGGAUGACUAACAGCUAGCUGAGUCACAAUCUUAAAAAGUUGUUUUUCAUACUAUCCAAGUAGUUCUGACAGGCUUAUCCUUCACAAAGCUCUAAAUAAAGAAAUCGGUAAAUCAUAGUUGUGAAUGACUACAAGAUAUUCUCGCUGUGCUAAGAAAAGGUUACCUCAAAUUCAAGAGGGAGGUUACAGCUUUUAGAGGGUGGUUACAGCUUUUAGAGGGUUUAUUAGUACAGAUGUUUGCAAGUAUUUGGAAGGUUCAGAGGGGAAGAAAAUAAGAGCAUCCUGCUUGGGGGAGGAAGGUAAAAAUGAACGGCGCAUUUGUUGCCCUAUCAGGGGAUGAGCCAUAAGUGAAAAAAAUCACUAGCUUCAAAAAGUCAAGCCCCAGACAACUGCAAAAACUUGUGACAACUGCGAGCGCACUCCUUAUGCCAAAUCCAUUGACCCAGGUAGGAUCUCCAGACGUAGAACAAGCAUUUACCUGGGCAAUGUUUUUGCCUGUGUGCAGCCGCGGGCUGUUCAGGGCUCUGUAGGCAUGGCAUACAUGACACUGUCCUGCUUUAAGGUCACCCCUGGCUGCAGGGCAAACGGCCAUGCAGAAAGGGGAUUCAGCAGGCUUCGUCCUCCCUGAAGGCUGCCUUCAGGGGAUCCAGGUAUGGUGCUUGCUCUCUCGCUUAAGAUUUCGCAAGCUCUGCAAGUCAUUUAAGACAAUUUUGGGAAAAGUUGUGCGGCUCCCCCAUUUCACUGAGACCUCAGUAAUAGCAAUUACAUGAUUUAUAGGGUCCAGAGAGCUCACUGGAUUGUUUUUUAGUAUUAUUAUUAUUUAAACUUACAUGAUGGUCCAGCUGCAAGACUAGACCUUUAAUAGUUUUGAAAAAAAUGGCUCUGGCCCAUGAUACAAUUUAGACUUGGGCGCUACAGUUCAUAUAGCAGCAUCCAUGGCUGUAGUCUGUGGGUGAACUGUUUGCCCCAAUACUACAUAACAAUCUUUUUCUUUUUUUUCUGUUAUUUCAGCAACAAGCAUGUGUUGCUAUAAUUGGAUGUGGCAAAAAGUCUAUAUCAAAUGCAUGGUUGCAAACACUUUUUUCUGGACAGGGUUUUCAGAAGUGGUCCAUUUUGCACAGACAGCUAGAUAAUGUGAUUGACAGUGGUGGGGAGAUAGGAAAUAUGACUGCACAGCAACCUGCAUAUAAGAACUUCUACUGUACCGAAGUCCUUAAUCGGAAACAUACCUAUGGUUCAAGCCCUUCAUCUGCUAAAUCGCAAGUGAAGUUACUUUGUCGCUCUGGAAGUGACAAGGAAAAAGUGCAGCAGUCUCAAUGUUUUUACCCUCUAGACGCUGGCUCGUGAUACCGAAUACAUUCAUGAAGCGACGACGCUUGGAAAAUUACCAUUGCAUCAAGUUAAAACAUUGCCUCUUAUGCAGCAGUACUCACGAAGUACAUAAACGUAAAGUCUAACAGCUUCAGACUGGAAAGUAAAUCACUGACACUGGAGGAACUCUGCAUAGCACCAAGCGCCUGUGCACCUGCGUUUCAUGUUUUGGUGCCAGGUUAGGGUUGGCAGAGGGCUUGUAAGACGCUAGUGUAUGUGACUCAUUGUUCUGUGCUAAGAUCAGCUCUUGGAACGAGCUCAGGAAUUUGAUUCCUGAGGCUGACUGGAGAGCUUCAUCCUCUCAGCUGGCAUCAGAUGGAGAUCUGCAUCUGUUCAGUGCCUACGUAUAACAUAAGCUGAAGUCAGCACUGUGAUUAUGCCCGUUCAUUUUGAGAAGUUUGGUUUUUUUUUUUUUUUGCAUCCAAGGCUUUGCUGCAGUCUGUUAAUAAAAUGAUUUAACUCUUUUCCAGUGGUGGGGAAAAUGAUGACGACUCUGACCAGAACUGGAAACCUCCAGAAAAUGACCUGAUCCAGAAGUUAAUAGCACAGAUUGAAUAUUACUUCUCAGAUGAGAACCUUGAGAAAGAUGCCUUCCUCCUAAAGCAUGUGAGAAGAAAUAAGAUGGGCUAUGUCAGUGUUAAGCUUCUCACUUCUUUUAAGAAUGUGAAACAGCUUACCCGUGACUGGAGAACCACGGCAUACGCGCUGAAGUACUCGGACACUCUGGAGCUCAAUGAGGAUAACAGAAAGGUUAGAAGAAAUACUCCAGUUCCAGUGUUUCCAAGUGAAAGCCACCCUACCAAGAUGUUACUGGUGUAUGAUAUCCACUUGUUUUCUGAGCUGCAGGCUCUCAACAAAGAACAAGAAAAUGGGUGUAUGCAAGAAAAGGUAAUGGAGCAUCUCCUCAAAGCCUUUGUAACUUUUGGUGUAAUUACAUCCGUUCGUAUUCUCAAGCCUGGUAGGGAUCUACCACCUGAUGUCAAGAGGCUCAGCAAUCGGUACAACCAAGUAGGAACACAGGAAUGUGCAAUUAUAGAAUUUGAAGAAGUAGAUGCUGCCAUACGUGCUCAUGACUUCAUGUGUGCUGAAAAUAAAGAGACUGGCAUGAAAGUUGUCCCAAUAGGCAUGAAGCCUCCAAAGAAGAAAGUUCCCAAAGACAAGAACCGUUACGAAGAUUCCACCAAGAGUCUUAACAAGGGUAGAUCCCUUAAUAAGAGAGUGGAGGAGCUUCAGUUUGUUGGUGAUGAGUCUUCAGCAAAUAGCUCUUCUGACCCAGAGAGUAAUCCUACAUCACCACUGUCGGGACGCAAAAGUACUGCAACAAGUACUACAAAUAAAUUAAGCCCUAUUAUUCACCCAAACAACCAUUUGAGUCCUAAUGUGUCACCCAGAUCAAGUCCUUGGAAUAGUCCGUCUUCACUAAGAAAAGUGACCAAAAAGUCUCCGCUUGCUGAAGACAACAAACUUAACCCAAACACUAGCCCUGAAGUUCCAAGGAGAUGCACAGAUUAUUCUUCAGACAGCAGCAUCACUCCUUCUAGUAGCCCAUGGGUACAGAGAAGACGACAAGGUCAAACUGUAACACAAGAGAAGAGUCCAGUCAGCAGCCCCAUGCUAGCUCGCAAAAUACAAAAUGCAGAUGGUCUACCUGUAGGGGUGCUGCGGCUACCUAAAGGGCCUGAUGGCACUAAAGGAUUCCAUAGUGGAUGUGAAAGAAGGAGAGCUAUGAAGAAUGAAUAAAUCAUUCUUUAAAAACAAUUUAGGAGUCAGCCAACUGCUUUCUUCAAGCCUGGUGAAAGACUGUCAACCGAGUGACUGAAUUAUGUCAAUAUUUAAUGUUUAAAGAUUUUGUAUUCAGGUAGACACUUUAUCAUUUGUAUAUUGGUGUAUUCACUUAUCUGCAUUCUUUUUAAUGUAUUAGUUUGAAAUGCCUAAACAUUGAAACAGGCAUCUAAAACCAUUCUUGCAACUAUAUCAUUUGCAAAGCUCUGACCCUGAAGAGUAGUGUGUAGACACUUACUGUUUAGCAGUUAUAUUUUGAUAGCUGUGCUAUGUUGCCAGUCUAAUCUUAAGGAAUAGAGGUUUUGAAGGCUUUCUGUUUUUUUCUCAAAAGGAACUGAGAAACUUAUGUAACAUUGAGCAGUUGCUCUCACCUUGCAUUUAUCUCCAAAGAAACUAGCUAUGGUUUACAGGACCAAAGCGUAUAUUUUUCUGUGGUAUGAAUGAGGAUGCUGAGCAUUGAAGAUUGUUCUGUAAGUUUUAACUUAUAAUCACAUGGAAAUAAACUAGAACAUUAACUCAGUCUAAAUCCAUUUCCUUUAAAGAAAAAGCUGUACCUGAACAGACACCUAGACCAGAUCUAUACCAUAUAAAAUUCUAACAGUUACUCAAUUUACAGUGCCUUCAGUAAGAAGAAUAGAUUGAAAUGUGCUCUGCCCCACUAUGGAUUGUUACUGCAGUGGUCACUCAAGAUCUUAUCGAUUAUAUGGCAGAGCCAUUUUCAUACAAUAUUGUAAACAAAACAAUAGUAAUCUCACAUUAGCUCCAAAUUUAACAAGAAGGCUCAGUAACAAAUGCUUAAAUUAAAAUUACUAUUAACUUAUCUAAAGCCAAAGGUACCUUUGCAGUUUUAUUUAGAAAAUUAUACUCCUGAAAAACAGCCCAGCUACUUAUUUACAACUUGAACCAAACAAGACACAAUUCUGAUUAGAUUCCUCUUCAUUACAGAACUUCUCUACAUCCUUUCCAACUUUCAUUUCUGUUUUAAGUUUGCUCUUCUGCAGUGGAAAUAAUUGCAGUAAUACACGGUUAGCAACCACCGUACUGCUGUGCACAAAAAGCUAUCAGUCCUGAGGUAUCGGCCCCUUGCCAGCCAGAAAGAUUCCUGACGCUUAUUCCGUACUUUACACAAAGGAAAUCCACCAAGUUACCUCCUGAUUUCCACUACUGGUAGAGACACCACAAAUACAGAUACUGUUAAAUUCAAACUUUUUAUCAACAGCAGAUCUGCAACUAUCUAGGUGACAGCUAACGAAAACAGUCUUCAGAAAAGUGAUUCCAUAACUCCAGACUACAUACAACGGCACCGUCUCAGUAGGUAUCCAAACCAUUUCCUUUUUUCUUCUUUAUGAGGAAUACUGUUGUCUCAUAGCAGUCAGGGGAUUUUUUUUAAUUAUGAAGUUAUAUAGCAUCCACAUAUCAUAAUGUACCCGUUUGGGAACAGUAGUACAAUGGAUACAAUACAAUAGUUUGAAGACAAAAGGAAGUCAGUUAAAUGGUAACACAGAAAGCUAUACGUAAUAGUCCAUGUUAAAAAUCUCUAAGGCACUGUACAUAUAUAGGGGGAAAAAAAAAAAAAGCAACAUUUACCAGGGCUGUGCUCUUUGAAUGAACACGUCCACAUGUUACAUUUAACAUGCGGAUCUUAACAAUCACAUUUGCUUCUGUGUAACACUGACAAUUUUAAACUAAAAAUCUCAGGCAUUACUUAUGAGUCUAUUUGGCUAUAGAAAGAAACACCAAACAUGAAGUCAUAAACAGCUUCUGUGUUAGUAUAUUCAUAUUCAGUACUCCUUUGAAAAGCUUUAGAAGCGCUUUGCAUGCUUAAUAGCAACGUAAAAUACUCUAGGCAUGAAAUACCUUCUCUCUGGCUACUUUUUACGCUAGCUAGCACACAUUAGGGGCUUUUCUGUAUUCUUACUUCAGAUUUUAGACAUGACACCUUAGUUGUAUAUCCACAGAAUUUGGCAUAGACUUGUAAUUUGAUACAGACCAAGGAGGAUUCAGAUCUGGGCUGUUAAGGUUCAGCAGAGAUGCCUAAGAUGAAAGUAGAGGCAACAUUUGGUUCUUGCAGUACCUAGGACUCCAUAUACUCCGUUAUUCUGGAGAAAGAUCUUAAUCUGAUGUCUGGUUUGGCAGAGGUAUGAUCUGUGCAUAACCAAAAACUCAUGAUUAAACAGGAAAUUUUCAAUUAAUGAUCCCACAGUUUGAUCCGGGAAAGAUUCCGGAGACUAUGUUUCACCUUUAUUAGAGAUAGGGCUUUUAAUAAUCUCAGUUAUAAAUUUCAUAUAGCAACUAAGUGUUCUUUACUUCAACUACAAAAAUGUAGGUGAAAAAUGUUUUGUUUAUGGCUUGAAUUCAUUUUAUGUUUUAUAGCAUUAAUGUGGAAUUCUUCAAAUAAAUGCCAAUGCUAGUCUGCAAAUAGUUUAUAACAGGAUCAUUUCAACAACGUGAAUGUACAUUAUUGUGAGGCUAAGUCAGUUCAGAAGCAAAGCAAAAAAAAAGGAAAGACUGAACUCAUUUGAUGAACAUUUGCGAAUUAGAAUAUUGAAUAAGCAGAGGAAAGCAAAAAGCACAAAAUAAACAUGCACUGAUUUUAUAAAUUAGGAAAAGACCACAUUUGUAAUUGCAGUAUUUUCACUGUCUUGGAGUUAGGAUAAAUUGACACAAAUUCAUCUUUCCCUUUGCAAAAGCACUCUUGUGCCUUGGUGCACGUUUUAAAAAAAAAAAAAAAAAAACAAAACCAAACCCGAAAGUUAGCGCUGUUAGUCAUCACCAAUCACCCAAUCAGGUCAUUAGCACUCCUCUGUGCCUCUUUCCCACGGCACCUUGUCAACAGGACUGACACUUCUUUCUCCUAAUGUGUGCGCCCAUGCUGCUGCUUUACACAUCACAGGCAUCACCCCGAGUACAUUGUGAAGUCACUACUUUAAAUCAGUUACACUGAAAACAACUAAAACCCAUCCUCAGUUCAAUCGCAUCAGAUGUGUCCCGGACAACAUUUCAUCAUUAAAGAUAUUUGGUUGUAAUUGCUUUACCGUAAGUUUACCUUUUGAAAACGCGUAUUAGAAUCAUGUGCAUUCCAGAUGCACUUUUUAUGUGAAAAAGUAAAAAGUCUGAGAUGAUGCAAGUGUAAAGUUUCUAUUUUACUGAAACAAUUCAGCUUUUUGCAUCAGUGUUUUAUUAUUUUAUCAUUCUAUUUGUCCUUGUUUUCAGAGGCCAACCUCAGUUACUAUAGGACAGGUAUUUCUGAAACACAGAAUGAACAGAUCAAAGGUGUUUGUAAUUAAUCAAGUAAGUCUGCUUUUUACUUAUAAGCAAAAAUAUUUGUUAUUGUUUUAUGAGGUGAUGGUUUGGUCCCAAUUCUCUGAGAUGACCAGUGCGAAACAAACGAGGGUCUUCCCCUGCUCAUGUGUUCUAGGAGCGGAGGAGCUCUUUGCUCGGCCAAAAUGGGACAAGUACAAUGAAUGUCAAAGUCCAAGACAUAACAUGUGCUACCACAUCAGCAAACAGUCUUGUACUGGACAGAAAACAGCUCAGCUAUAUCAAGGUCAUAGACAGCAUCAAGCCCUGGAGAACAGCUGGAAAACCUUUUGGUAAGAAUCAUUUGCUGUGUUAUCCUACAGUUCUGCCUGCACGUACUUUAAAAGACUUUCGUGCAAGUGAAGCAGGAUGUGACCACAACAGGGUGAGGAUAACAUUUUCAAAAGGUUAAGUUUCAUUGAUGGACUUGGCUCCUCCAUCACUUAGCUGCUUUAGAAGAUUUGUCCUCCUUAUAAAACUGUCCUAAGAGCUUUCCAGAUAGGUCAUUUUGCUACCAUCAAAAUUUAUUUUAGCACGUUAUACAGCUAUGAAGGAUACCGUAUCAUUGCAAUAUAAACAGAUAAAAUUACUGUGAGUGAAAUACACUACCCAGCUUUUUAGAGUAGAAGACUAAGUAACCCUUUUGAUCCAGCUUUCCAGCGAUUAACUGUAUCACAAGCCUGUCAGUGUUUCAUAAACUUUAGCCAAGCUUCCUAAGCAUGCCGCGCUUAAGCUUAAAAAUAAAAACAAGCAAGAGCAGUUCACAUCCCAGCAGAAGGAGCAACUUCUAGAAGAUAUACCUCACAAAUACUAUUGCUAUCCAUUUUGGAAAUAGAGAUGGAUUAAUAAAUUACAUAUUGAAAUUAACUUUAGAACAAAACUCCAUCAGAUUUAUGUCCCCAAAUUUAAAUUUCACUGGUUACAGGCGGUGCAAAUUGUGCAUUACUGCAUUAGUUAAAUUGUGUAGGUGGAAGUAUUAUAAGCGGGUUAUUAUUCAGGAUAUUCAGGAUAAAGAGACUCAUAAUCAUUUCGUGAACAAUUUUAAGCUAAGUAUGUCCGUGUUUUCUUACAAAUGUUAAGAAUUAAAAGCGUGCAUUUACCAUUUGCUUGCCUUUUUAUUUCCCUUUGUACAUAGAAAACACAAGAAUUCCAGCCACUAAUGUAAGAUAUGUUUAGAACAUGAUUUCUUGGAUUCCCCAUUUUAGUUAAGACAGCUGAACGUACUAGAAUUCAAUAGUAAAUACACUAUGAGCUUGCAGUUACUCAAAACUCACACUUCUAUAGCCUAACUACAAGAGGGACUGAGGAGGGUUGAACUAAAGGUCUUGAAGAUUCUUCAUACAGCUACACUUGCAAAAAUUAAAAUGGCCUAACAGUUAUGAUGCAAUGGUGGUUGAUACCCAAUUUAUGUCUUUUGCAGUGUGUGACCGAUUUACUCUCUGGGCAAGUUAGAGAAGUGGACAGAAGAAAAACGAAACCUUGCUGAACAACCACAACUCCUGCUUUCUUCAUGUUCCACUAGUCUGCGGCUACAUAUUAUGGACACCUGGCUAAAUUUCACUGGCAGAUCAAAAAUUAAGUUACAUACGGAAAAGACAUCUCAGUCAGUCCAAGCACAAAAGUAUUGAUCUGUAAUUCUUACAAGAUACUCCAAAGAGUUAACUGUCAAAACACUUAAAAUAGGAAGAGUACAAUUAAGAUGGAGUUAGGAGCACAGUAAUUAGAUUGACAGUACACAGUUCUAUCAUUUCUUUGGAGCUGGAGACCUAUUACAGCCCAUUUGUAACGUUAGCUAUAAUAUCUCGUAUUAACAGCUGCACCCUUCAACUUUUCUGUGACUCCAGAGCUCUGCAGGCUGGAGGAAGCCAGAGUUGAAUGUGACAGCUGGUUCUUGCUCUUUUUUUUUUUACACAUA